ACAAACGCUCGUGGUUGGUCAGAGCUUUGGCACCAGCACGUCUCCCAUAGGGUUAGAGCCAGAGACCAGAGCCAGAGACCAGAGACCAGAGACCAGAGCCAGACCAGAGACCAGAGCCCAGAGCCAGACCAGAGACCAGAGCAGACCAGAGCCCAGAGCCAGACCAGAGACCAGAGACCAGAGCCCAGAGCCAGACCAGAGACCAGAGCCCAGAGCCAGACCAGAGCCCAGAGCAGACCAGAGACCAGAGACCAGAGACCAGAGACCAGAGCCAGAGACCAGAGCCAGAGACCAGAGCCAGAGACCAGAGACCAGAGCCAGAGACCAGAGAACCAGAGACCAGAGACCGAGACCAGAGACCAGAGCCAGAGCCAGAGCCAGAGCCAGAGACCAGAGACCAGAGCCAGAGACCAGAGCCAGACACCAGAGCCAGAGCCAGAGACCAGAGCCAGAGCCAGACCAGAGACCAGAGCCAGAGACCAGAGCCCAGAGACCAGAGCCCAGAGACCAGAGCCCAGAGACCAGAGCCAGAUACCAGAGCCAGAGACCAGAGCCAGAGACCAGAGACCAGAGCCAGAGACCAGAGACCAGAGCCAGAGACCAGAGACCAGAGCCAGAGACCAGAGAACCAGAGACCAGAGACCAGAGCCAGAGACCAGAGCCAGAGACCAGAGACCAGAGACCAGAGCCAGAGCCAGAGACCAGAGACCAGAGCCAGAGACCAGAGCCAGACACCAGAGCCAGAGCCAGAGCCAGAGACCAGAGCCAGAGCCAGAGACCAGAGCCAGAGACCAGAGCCCAGAGACCAGAGCCAGAGACCAGAGACCAGAGACCAGAGCCAGAGACCAGAGACCAGAGCCCAGAGACCAGAGCCAGAGGAUGCAGCACAGCUGCUGCUGGACUCUACCUGGAGACACUAGAGUCUCCUGGUGUUUAGAGCUGAAACAUCGUUGUUGUUGGGAAAAUGUUGUAAACCCCUUCCCACCACUUGUGUAUCUACUGUGUGUAACACUGAACACAAGGGCCGAGGUCAUGAAGGUGAGGGGGGAAGCAGCUCCACAGGACCAGCUCACAGAGCCCCCAGGUGUGGCUCCUACCUGCCUCCACCUGAACCAGGAGGUCCAGCAGAAGAAAGCGGGCCGAGCAGAAUAUCAAAGGUCCCAGGAAGAAACCUACAGGAAAGAGAGGGGGGCCGGGAUGGAGGGUGCUGCCCCCUACUGGACAGGCUGA
rnacentral:lncRNA from 1 species